AAAUUUUUAGGAAAAAAGUCUAUACAUAUGGGUAUCAUCAAUUAUACGAUUUCUGAAAAAAAGGGGAGAGAAAAUUGUGGAAUUUUUUAGUGGUUAGUAUCGAGGAAGUUAUAAUAAAUACAAAAUUGUGAAAGUGAUAAAAGCGAAAUAAAGAUAUGAUAGUUUUCUAUUCUUAUUCGGUGGCUAAUGUUCGGACAUCGUGACAGAACUAAUCUUAAAAGAAAAAAAAGGAAAAAAAGAAAAAAAGGAAAGGAUAAUAAUGCAAGAUAUAGAAUGUUUAUCCUUUACACAUGAACUAUUCACACGUGUGAUUUUAUCCGAGCCGCUCGAAGUGGAGGAAAAAUAUUGUUUGCCUGUCUCGAAUCGACAUCGCAAGAGUUCUUUGUACUUGCCAAAC